CAAAGUCGAAUUCUUACCUUCACCUUCUUCAGACAUUGCGACCAUGGAUUUCUAGGGUUCAUCAUGUUGUGGGAGCUUUGAUUAGGUCAACGGACUAUGGAGUUUCUGGAGUUUUAAGUUACAUGAAUCGUCAUUCGUUUGAGGUUCCUUUCCUCCAGACCGUUACAGAUGCUUUGAUUGAUGGUUUUAACUCAUUCUCCCCACUCUUACCAAGAUUCCUCAUUCAAUGCACUUCUCUUCCGGUCGGUCAAUAUUUUGCUAUAAAAAGAUGGUAGCUGUAGCACCACCGUCCAAGGCCGUCUGGGAGGCCAAGAAAGUGAAAAGAGGUCGCGAGCUUAUGGGCGUCGUAUGCUUCUCCUUGAUGCCAAGGUAGCCCCGGCGAUUUCCAAAACAAACCAUUCCCUUUUCCUUUAACAUUUACAAGUGAAGCUUUCCUUCUCUGCAGCAAAUAACAAUUUCCAUGUCUGAAGACAGGCACCAACCAAAGUAAAUGAAUGCUAAAGAAGGAACAAAUAAUGGAUCUAUCAAGGCCUCCCAUUGCAUACUUUGAACAUCAUAUUUGUUCUUCUUUGUGGAACAUUCACCGUAAACGGCAAAGUAAAUCCAGCAUCGGAAGCUAAUGUAAGUUCUUUUACUCACUAAAGAAUAUGUGAUUGUCAUAGACAUCAGCUACUGUCAAAUGUGAAUAUAAAUUCUUCUUAUAUAGAGUUUAUAUCAUCUUCUCAUCUCUACAUAUAUUCUUAUCAAAUUUGUUGGCUAGGGUUGGCGAUCCAAAAGCUGCAGAUAUUGUGUUCACAUGUGGGGUCUAUAUAAUUGACAUUAAGUUUGGCUUUGGAUUGUCUCUCCACAUUAUUUAAAAAGCUACCCUUUUUGCUUAUACUUUGGCCCAGAGAAAAUUGAUGGUUAGUAGUUUCGGUCACUGGUGAGGUAACAUUGGUGUAGAAACUCUCUUCAGAGUUCUUUUUGGGUUCAAAAAGAAAACAUGGCAAUGGUGGUGAAGAAACUCAUCCAGAUGAGCUUGGAAAUGAACACACUGGGAAAAGAGCUAUGGUUUCAAGAGGAGAGAUGACGUUUCAAGAUGUUUACGGUGCAGAGGCAUUGCUGAAUGAAGAAGAUGAGGAGGAUGAUAGUGGUUGGAACCUGAGCAGCAGACGAUGCCCGUUGAGUUUGUGAAAUCGUGUUGCGUCAAUUCCACUAUGACGAAUCGUGGUGAUAUGGUCCAUUGUUAUGUAUGUUUUGCUUUCACUAUGACCCAUGAAGUUAUUAUGACAGGUUCUUCGGAAAAUCACUGUCUCCUUUGAUGCUAAACAUUGUUAUCAUAAUCACACAUUAUUUUAACACAUGUUAUCUUUGUAGAUUGUAAUUGUCUUUGUAAUGUUCCUUUUUGAAAUUAUUUUCUUAUGUUCAGU